rnacentral:rRNA from 1 species
AUGGUAGGAUAGAGGCCUACCAUGGUGGUAACGGGUAACGGGGUGUUAGGGCACGACACCGGAGAGGGAGCCUGAGAAACGGCUACCACAUCCAAGGAAGGCAGCAGGCGCGCAAAUUACCCAAUCCCGACACGGGGAGGUAGUGACAAUAAAUAACAAUACAGGGUUCUUUGAAUCUUGUAAUUGGAAUGAGUACAAUUUAAAUCUCUUAACGAGGAACAAUUGGAGGGCAAGUCUGGUGCCAGCAGCCGCGGUAAUUCCAGCUCCAAUAGCGUAUAUUAAAGUUGUUGCAGUUAAAAAGCUCGUAGUUGAAUUUCGGGAUCAGUACGUCGGUCGUGCUUUCGGGUACGUACUGGCGUCAUUGGUUUCUCCUUUCUGACGAACCAUGAUGUCAUUAAUUUGGUGUUAUGGGGAGUUAGGACUGUUACUUUGAAAAAAUUAGAGUGUUUAAAGCAGGCAUUAGCUUGAAUACAUUAGCAUGGAAUAAUGAAAUAGGACGUUCGAUCCUAUUUUGUUGGUUUCUAGGAUCAACGUAAUGAUUAAUAGGGAUAGUUGGGGGCAUUAGUAUUCAAUUGUCAGAGGUGAAAUUCUUGGAUUUAUUGAAGACUAACUACUGCGAAAGCAUUUGCCAAGGAUGUUUUCAUUAAUCAAGAACGAAAGUUAGGGGAUCGAAGACGAUCAGAUACCGUCGUAGUCUUAACCAUAAACUAUGCCGACUAGGGAUCGGAUGAUGUUAAUUUUUUAAUGACUCAUUCGGCGCCUUACGGGAAACCAAAGUGUUUGGG